AAAGAUACUAAAUCUAGUCUCUAAAGAAAUUAGUACCCGGUCCCAAAAUACAAUUUAUACGUGGGAGCGGGAAAAAGGUGUCCUAAAGGUGAUACUAAAAUAUUAAAAAACAUAAAAUUUUUCACCAUAACAUCCAUCGCCAAAACUAAGAAUUAUUUUUCAAAGAAAAAGCAAAAAAACUCUUUGUUUCUCAAUACAGAUCCCAUUGCUAUACUUUGCCCUAGCAGCAGCUCCUCUGCAGAUCUCUAUUCUCAGCUACCAUUCAUAAAAAACAUUACAGUUUCUCAAAACAGAGAAAGCACAACAAAUUGUAUGUCAUCUAGUUUGCUCAAAUCUAUUUUCAUCUAUUCUAAUAUUAGAAGCUACAGGUGCUGAAGAGACAAUUUUUGUUGCAUCAUCUUCAACGAGGGAUAGUUAACUCUCAUUAAGAUUUAAGUCCUCAAUAAUUGCAGCUGCAACUCCUUCAACUCCUUUUCUCAUGGAGAGCUGCUGGAUAUGGACUUUUAUUCUACACGUGUGAAGCUCUAACAUCUACUCCUGUGCUUUCGGAUUUCCUCAGGAUUUGAAUAUUUCCGUUUACAAGUCGAGAUGCAAGUUUGAAGAAAUUAAACAAGUUUUGCCAAAUCGGUCAUCCUUUCGCUUGGAUAGUUUGGCAAUACAUUUCAUUAUAUAUUUAGAGAUGUUAGCUUUUUGGCUAAUACAACUACAACAACAACAUACCAGUGGGAAUAUAGUGUUGUGUAAUCAGUACUGCAUGUGAGAUGUUUAUCUAUAGUUUUAAAUAAUACGAUCGAUAAUUUUGUAUA